rnacentral:lncRNA from 1 species
GCGCUUGCAAGCCGUUCGCCAUGGUGGACGAGCUGGUGCUGCUGCUGCACGCGCUCCUGAUGCGGCACCGCGCCCUGAGCAUCGAGAACAGCCAGCUCAUGGAACAGCUGCGGCUGCUGGUGUGCGAGAGGGCCACCCUGCUGCGCCAGAUACGAAUGAUACCUUUUGACUCUCAGCCAUGAAAGAUGAGGAACUCACCAUAUGCACUAAUUCUAUUUCUCUAUCAACUUUCUAUGAUUCCUUUUUAUUUUGAAAGCUGAUGGUGAUAUGAGAUACUAUGAUACGAUAUGUCGGUGAUAUGGGAGCCCGACUCGGGACUGGAUCCCGGGUCUUCAGGAUCACGCCCUGGGAGGAAGGCAGCGCUAAACCGCUGAGUCACCCAGGUUGCCUGCUUGUUGCAAUCCCUUGUUCUGAGAGUGAGAAGCCUGGCUCCCACCAUCCUCUAUCCAUUUCCUUAACUCUUCAAUUCCAGUAUAUAUGUUCAGUGUUUCAGAAUUGCUAACUGUACUCCUAUGGCAAACGACUUUACCAACUUGAGUAGAGCACUUUUAUGUAUAGUUCCUUUUGCAUUAGUCUCACAGUAUCCACUCAUCUCCAGAGUUACUUAGGUUACUGUCUUUUCUGCACUGUCCCCUUCAGUGAAGUUGUUUCAUACUUGUAUAAUAUGGUUACAUGAUUUUGUCACACUGUAGUCCAUCCUAGGAUUUCAUACUUCAUAAAUGACUUCUAAACUUUGCAAAUGUUAAGGUACACUCUUUGUGCUGUGAAGUUAUAUGGGUUUUGACAAAUGUAUAGUGUCAUGAAUCCACAAAUACAGUAUCAUACAGAAUAGUUUCACCACCUAAAAAAUCCUCUGUGCUUCAGCCAUUAAACCAUAUUCCUCAACCCCCAUGCCCUGCAAACCUCCAGCCACUCAUCUUUAUUAUUGUCCCUAUAGUUUUGCUUUUUUCUUUUUUUUAGAAUGGCAUAUAAUUCGAAUCAUACGGCAUGUAACCAUUCUGACUGGUUUCGUUCACUUACCAAUAUGCUUUCAAGAUUUCUCCAUGUCUUUUCAUGGCUUCAUAACUCAUUUCUUUUUAUCACAGAAUAACAUUUCACUGCAUAAAAGUACCACUGUUUUAAGAUCUAUUCACCCAUUAAGGGGCAUUUUAGUUGCUUCUAGUUUUGAAUUAUUAUGAGUACAGCUACCAUGAACAUUUACAUUCAGGUUUUUGUGUGAACAUUGGUUUUCAAAUCCACUGAGUAAAUACUUGGGAGUACAAUUGCUAGAUCAUAUGGCAAAACUAUGUUUAGCUUCAUAAGAGACUGCCAAACUGUCUUCCAAAGUACCAUUUAUGGUUACCAUUCAUUUUGCAUGAAUGCAAAAUGGUACUUAUAGAGUUAUUCAUCAGCAGUUGGUGUUGUGUUUAGGUUUUAUCCAUUCUAGUGGAUGUAUAGUAGUAUCUCAUUGUAAUUUGCAUUUCCCUAAUGCAAAAUGAUGUUGAGCAUUUUCAUGUUUUUAUUUUCUUUGGUGAUGUGAUAGUCCAUUUGGAAUUAGCUUGUUUCUUAUUGUUGAGUUUUAAGAGUUCAUUAUAUACUUUGGACAAAAGUAUUUUAUCAGAUAUGUAUUAUCAGGUGGGUGUUUCGUAAAUUUUUUUUCAGUCUAUGGGUUAUCUUUCUAUAGCCUUAAUGGCAUCUUUUGCAAGCAUAAGUUUUAAGUUUUAAUAAAAUCCGGCAUCAGUUGUUUUUCAUGGAUUAUGCUUUUGGUUUGUGUCUAGAAACUCAUAAUCUCACUUAGGAUAACAUGGGUUUUCUCCUAGGCAUCCCUUUCAUUAAAAAAAAAACAAAAACAAAAAAAACAAAA